GUCAUUGUCUGUGAGUGGUUCCUCAGGACGGAGUUCAGUCAAUCUUCCCAGCUUCCCUUGUCAUGUACAGCGUGGACACCCUGCUCUUGUGAUAGGAGAGGAGACUCCGCCUGAGUUUAGAUUUAGUCGGCUCCAAAGUGGAAGCGAGGAAGCUUUGGGCUAGUGUUGUGGCCUCCAGUGUGGCUGUGUGGAGGAGGGGUCUUAAGAGCCACAGCUGAAUGAAAGGUGACAAGGACAAGGCCCGCCUCUCUCCAGGAAGGUACAAUGAUAGAUCUCUCCCACCUCAGUGAAUCUGGAAACACCCUCACAGGUAUACCCAAAUGCGUGUCUUUCCAACCUCCUGUGUGAUUCUAAAUGCAGUUAAGUGCCCAAUGAAAAUUAACCAUCA